rnacentral:rRNA from 1 species
AAGAGGUGUAGAAUAAGUGGGAGCUUCGGCGUCUUGAAAUACCACUACUCUUGGAUACCCUCUGGGCAACCAAAAAAUCGAACACUGUUUUUUUGUAUUUGGAACAUACAUUUUUGA